UUAUUUUCAGAUAAUUAGCAUUGGAGAAUAAGCAUUUGACUGGUCUUAUGGUCACAGUUGGUUGCAUCCUGUAUAAUUUAAUCACAAUAUAAUUACUGGAGAAUUUGCAGUGAAAUUAGCUAAAGGUCACAGUUGGCUGCCUACUUUAUAUCCUGGUCACAGUGAAGUCCUUGAACUAUAAAUCUGGUUG